GUGCUCGCUUCAGCAACACAUACACUAAAAUUGGAACAAUACAGAGAUUAGCGUGGCCCCUGUGCAAGGAUAACACACAGAUUUGUGAAGCGUUCCACAUUAAA